rnacentral:rRNA from 1 species
AGCGUGCGCGUUGGUCCCGAAAGUGGUGAACUAUGCCUGGCCAGGACGAAGUCAGGGGAAACCCUGAUGGAGGUCCGUAGCA